rnacentral:rRNA from 1 species
AUUGAACGCUGGCGGCAGGCCUAACACAUGCAAGUCGAGCGGAUGAAGGGAGCUUGCUCCUGGAUUCAGCGGCGGACGGGUGAGUAAUGCCUAGGAAUCUGCCUGGUCGUGGGGGAUAACGUCCGGAAACGGGCGCUAAUACCGCAUACGUCCUGAGGGAGAAAGUGGGGGAUCUUCGGACCUCACGCUAUCAGAUGAGCCUAGGUCGGAGUAGCUAGUUGGUGGGGUAAAGGCCUACCAAGGCGACGAUCCGUAACUGGUCUGAGAGGAUGAUCAGUCACACUGGAACUGAGACACGGUCCAGACUCCUACGGGAGGCAGCAGUGGGGAAUAUUGGACAAUGGGCGAAAGCCUGAUCCAGCCAUGCCGCGUGUGUGAAGAAGGUCUUCGGAUUGUAAAGCACUUUAAGUUGGGAGGAAGGGCAGUAAGUUAAUACCUUGCUGUUUUGACGUUACCAACAGAAUAAGCACCGGCUAACUUCGUG